rnacentral:rRNA from 1 species
UACGUAAGGUGCGAGCGUUAAUCGGAAUUACUGGGCGUAAAGCGUGCGCAGGCGGUUCGUUGUGUCGGUGGUGAAAUCCCCGGGCUUAACCUGGGAAUGGCCAUGGAAACUGGCGAACUGGAGUGCGGCAGAGGGGGGUGGAAUUCCGCGUGUAGCAGUGAAAUGCGUAGAGAUGCGGAGGAACACCGAUGGCGAAGGCAGCCCCCUGGGCUAGCACUGACGCUCAGGCACGAAAGCGUGGGGAGCAAACAGG